AGAGUUUGAUUAUGGCUCAGGACGAACGCUGGCGGCGUGCCUAACACAUGCAAGUCGAACGGAGAUAUUCCGGAUUGAGAUUCGGUUGAUUGAAAGGAUAUCUUAGUGGCGGACGGGUGAGUAACGCGUGAGUAACCUGCCCAUAAGAGGGGGAUAACGUUCUGAAAAGAACGCUAAUACCGCAUAACAUAUGUAAUUCGCAUGGAAGACAUAUCAAAGGAGUAAUCCGCUUAUGGAUGGACUCGCGUCCGAUUAGCUAGUUGGCGGGAUAACAGCCCACCAAGGCGACGAUCGGUAGCCGGACUGAGAGGUUGAACGGCCACAUUGGACUGAGACACGGCCCAGACUCCUACGGGAGGCAGCAGUGGGGGAUAUUGCGCAAUGGGGGAAACCCUGAACCGCAGCAACGCCGCGUGAAUGAAGAAGGUCUUCGGAUUGUAAAAUUCUUUUGUUGAGGACGAAAGAAAUGACGGUACUCAACGAAUAAGCUCCGGCUAACUACGUGCCAGCCGCCGC
rnacentral:rRNA from 1 species